GUCCACGCUGUAAACGAUGAUGACUAACCGUCGGCGAUACACUGUCGGUGGCCAAGCGAAAGCGAUAAGUCAUCCACCUGGGGAGUACGACCGCAAGGUUGAAACUCAAAGGAAUUGACGGGGGCCCGCACAAGCGGAGGAACAUGUGGUUUAAUUCGAUGAUACGCGAGGAACCUUACCCGGGCUCGAACGGCAGGGGAAUCACUCAGAGAUGGGGUGAGUCUUCGGACUCCUGUCGAGGUGCUGCAUGGUUGUCGU
rnacentral:rRNA from 1 species